rnacentral:rRNA from 1 species
CAGGAUUCCCCAAGUAGCGGCGAGCGAACAGGGAUGAGCCCAGCGCUGAAUCCCGCGCCCGGCACACGGGCGCGGGAGAUGUGGCGUUAGGGAGGGUCCGACAUCCCGGGGGCCCUGCGGCGCGCCUAAGUCCUUCUUGAACGGGGCCAUUCACCCAGAGAGGGUGCCAGGCCCGUGACGGCAGCCGCAGCCCUCGGGAGGGCCUCUCCUCAGAGUCGGGUUGCUUGAGAGUGCAGCUCUAAGCGGGUGGUAAACUCCAUCUAAGGCUAAAUACGACCACGAGACCGAUAGCGAACAAGUACCGUGAGGGAAAGUUGAAAAGAACUUUGAAGAGAGAGUUCAAGAGUACGUGAAACCGUUCAGGGGCAAGCCUGAGGCACCCGAAAGGUCGAGGCGGGAGAUUCAGUGCCCCGCGCGCCCGGCGACGGGCCGAGCCGCGUCGAGUGCGCCGCCGUCCCCCCGCACCCGUGCGGGGGUCGGCCGCAUUCCGCGCUCCCCGCCGUGUCCGGCGAGCGCGCGCGGGCGUGCACUUCUCCCGCUGUAGGACGUCGCGACCCGUUGGGCCGUCGGCCUUCAGGGCCCGCGCACCAGACCGGCGCCCGCCGCAUCCCGCCCUCAGGGGCGCGGGGCGGCGCGCGGCGCCGGAGGCGCGGUGCACCCCCGGCCGUCGCCCGACGGUAUCGAACGCUAGUACGGCGCACGGAGCCGCCUUCUCUUCGAGAAGGCGUCCGGCCCGCCGCGAGCACGGCGCGCGCGCGCCGGCGGUCGGACUCGCGUCCGGCCCCGGCCCCGCCCGGCUGUCGGCGGCGGAUGCCCCGGACGGACUCCGCUCUGCUGCCAGUCUGCGACGCUUCAGCUUCGGGCGGUCUCAGGACCCGUCUUGAAACACGGACCAAGGAGUCUAGCAUGCGCGCGAGUCACUGGGACUGUGCGAAACCCAAGGGCGCAAUGAAAGUGAAGGCCCGCCUCGCGCGGGCCGAGGGAGGAUGGGCCGUCCCUGGCGACGGCCCCGCACUCCCGGGGCGUCUCGUCCUCAUCGCGAGGUGAGGCGCACCCAGAGCGCGCACGCUGGGACCCGAAAGAUGGUGAACUAUGCCUGGUCAGGACGAAGUCAGGGGAAACCCUGAUGGAGGUCCGUAGCGAUUCUGACGUGCAAAUCGAUCGUCGGAACUGGGUAUAGGGGCGAAAGACUAAUCGAACCAUCUAGUAGCUGGUUCCAUCCGAAGUUUCCCUCAGGAUAGCUGGCGCUCGCACUUGCGAGUCUCAUCUGGUAAAGCGAAUGAUUAGAGGCAUUGGGGCCGAAACGGCCUCAACCUAUUCUCAAACUUUAAAUGGGUGAGAUCUCCGGCUUGGCUUGAACUAUGAAGCCGCGAGAUCCGGAUCAGAG